rnacentral:rRNA from 1 species
AAUAAACCCUCCCACGUGUGGGAGCUUGUAUGUACCUUAUGAAUAAGCAUCGGCUAACUCCGUGCCAGCAGCCGCGGUAAUACGGAGGAUGCGAGCGUUAUCCGGAUUUAUUGGGUUUAAAGGGAGCGCAGACGGGUCGUUAAGUCAGCUGUGAAAGUUUGGGGCUCAACCUUAAAAUUGCAGUUGAUACUGGCGUCCUUGAGUGCGGUUGAGGUGUGCGGAAUUCGUGGUGUAGCGGUGAAAUGCUUAGAUAUCACGAAGAACUCCGAUUGCGAAGGCAGCACACUAAUCCGUAACUGACGUUCAUGCUCGAAAGUGUGGGUAUCAAACAGGAUUAGAUACCCUGGUAGUCCACACGGUAAACGAUGGAUACUCGCUGUUGGCGAUAUACUGUCAGCGGCUUAGCGAAAGCGUUAAGUAUCCCACCUGGGGAGUACGCCGGCAACGGUGCAACU